rnacentral:rRNA from 1 species
UACAUGGGGUGCAAACGUUGCUCGGAAUUACUGGGCGUAAAGCGUGCGCAGGCGGUUUUGUAAGCCAGAUGUGAAAUCCCCGGGCUUAACCUGGGAAUGGCAUUUGGGACUGCAAGGCUGGAGUGCGGCAGAGGAGACUGGAAUUCCUGGUGUAGCAGUGAAAUGCGUAGAUAUCAGGAGGAACACCGAUGGCGAAGGCAGGUCUCUGGGCUGACACUGACGCUCAUGCACGAAAGCGUGGGGAGCAAACAGG